AGUGAACGCUGGCGGUAGGCCUAACACAUGCAAGUCGAACGGCAGCACAGUAAGAGCUUGCUCUUACGGGUGGCGGGUGGCGGACGGGUGAGGAAUACAUCGGAAUCUACUUUUUCGUGGGGGACAACGUAGGGAAACUUACGCUAAUACCGCAUACGACCUACGGGUGAAAGCAGGGGAUCUUCGGACCUUGCGCGAUUGAAUGAGCCGAUGUCGGAUUAGCUAGUUGGCGGGGUAAAGGCCCACCAAGGCGACGAUCCGUAGCUGGUCUGAGAGGAUGAUCAGCCACACUGGAACUGAGACACGGUCCAGACUCCUACGGGAGGCAGCAGUGGGGAAUAUUGGACAAUGGGCGCAAGCCUGAUCCAGCCAUACCGCGUGGGUGAAGAAGGCCUUCGGGCUGUAAAGCCCUUUUGUUGGGAAAGAAAAGCAGCAGGUUAAUACCCCGCUGUUCUGACGGUACCCAAAGGAUAAGCACCGGCUAACUUCGUG
rnacentral:rRNA from 1 species